rnacentral:rRNA from 1 species
CUACGGGCCGCUCCAGUGGGGAAUAUUGGACAAUGGGCGCAAGCCUGAUCCAGCAAUACCGCGUGUGUGAAGAAGGCCUGCGGGUUGUAAAGCACUUUCAAUUGUGAAGAAAAGCGAGAGGUUAAUAGCCUUUUGUCUUGACGUUAACUUUAGAAGAAGCACCGGCGAACUCUGUGCCAGCAGCCGCGGUGAAUACAGAGGGUGCGAGCGUUAAUCGGAAUUACUGGGCGUAAAGCGUGCGUAGGCGGUUUAGUAAGUCAGAUGUGAAAGCCCUGGGCUCAACCUGGGAACUGCAUUUGAAACUGCUGAACUAGAGUGUGGUAGAGGGAAGUGGAAUUCCGGGUGUAGCGGUGAAAUGCGUAGAUAUCCGGAGGAACACCAGUGGCGAAGGCGACUUCCUGGACCAACACUGACGCUGAGGUACGAAAGCGUGGGUAGCAAACAGGAUUAGAUACCCCUGUAGUC